UUUAGCCUGGGCUUGAGCGCGCGCAGAAGUCAGCUUCGUGACUUCCUUCUCAGGAUGGAACCAGCUUGGUGGCUUGAGGCUUAGCUAAGGGAGCAGAAGACUAACCGUGGUCACUACACAGGCUCUCAAAAUCCUUGCAGCAGUUCCCAAACUCUUGGCAGCGGGCAUUGCAGUGACAUUGGUGGUGCUUGUCAAAGGCUUCGUAGCAGCGGCCCUGGCAGGAGGAAAGGGGUUCUGAGUUGCAAAUCAGAAACUUGAAGAUGAAAUGGCUACUACGCUGGGUAUUGCCUUUAUCUUGAAUGCCAGCCUGAUGGUCCAAGGUGAACAAGCCUUCCUGUGUUUUCUGAAUGGUAAGAAAAAGUGGGGACACAAGGACAGCAGAAAAGGCAUAGGCUCUGAUUCCGGCUGAUCUCGGCCUGGGUCUCCCUGCCUGGGGAAGGAGGUGUAUGUGUGUGUGCUAAUAUAUAUGUGGUGCUAAUGUAUAAUACAUAUGCUUAUAUGGUGAUAUGGUUUGGCUGUGUCCCCCCUCAAAUCUCAUCUUGAAUGGUAGCUCACAUAAUUCCCAUGUGUCACGGGAGGGACCUGGUGAGAGGUAACUGAAUCAUGGGGACGGGUUUUUCCUGUGCUGGUUCUCGUGAUAGUGAAUAAGUCUCACGAUAUCUUAUGGUUUUAUAAAGUGCAGUUCCCCCGCACUUUGCCUGCCACCAUGUAAGAUGUGUCUUUGCGCCUCCUUUGCCUUCCACCAUGAUUGUGCGGCCUCCCCAGCCAUGUGGAACGGUGAGUCUAUUAAACCUCUUUUUCUUUACAAAUUACCCAGUCUCGGGUAUUUCUUCAUAGCAGUAUGAAAAUGGACUAAUACAUAUGGUGUUUUUGUAUAAAUUGAAAAAAAGCUUCCAUACGAGUGGAAGCAGCUCUGUGGGUGCUUGACUGGCUACCACCUUUGGGCAAAUUCAGAAAACACACUUGUUUCUCUCAGCAGACACAACUCUUCACCAGUGCACAAAACCUGAUGAGAAGGAUACAGACUGGAUUUUGGUCCAGCUUGCUGCUUAACUAGGUUCCCUUGCACAACGCACAACCUGUGCAAUGAUUAUGCAGUGAAAUUGAUGGCCAUUACCUAACGUGGCUUCAGUGACCAUGUUUUCAAAACUGGGAGUCAGAGUGCAUGGCUUGACAUCAAGGCUUUGUGUCACAAAGCAGAAGAUCAUUAAUCUGGGAGUUGACAACAUUGGAAGCACCUAAACAAGUUGAUUAUUCAUACAAGAUUUUUUUCAAGUAUUCAUUUAAAACUAUGCAGUUAAAGGUGGUGCAUGUCCUGUUCUAAUUGGUAGGCUGGAAAUGAUGGUAUGGAGAUGUUGCACCACGUGGUCCCUUCACUAGAGGAAGAGUGGUAUGAAUCGUGUCCGUCACUGUGACACCAUGCAGUCUUCCUGGCAGUACACAAGUUGUGAGAGUUUGCUACCAUUUUUACAUUUUUGUGAUUUAAAGUGUUGAAUAACAAUUAAUAAUGUCAUACAUACUAAAAUAUUAU
rnacentral:lncRNA from 1 species